GAUAAACGCUGGCGGCGUGCGUAACACAUGCAAGUCGAACGAAGUGGCGGAUGGGUGAGUAACGCGUAAGAAACCUGCCUUUCACACCGGGAUAGCAGCUGGAAACGGCUAUUAAUACCGGAUGGUGAAAGAUGGUCUUGCGUCUGAUUAGCUAGUUGGUGGGGUAACGGCCUACCAAGGCGACGAUCAGUAGCCGGCCUGAGAGGGGGUACGGCCACAUUGUGACUGAGACACGGCCCAAACUCCUACGGGAGGCAGCAGUGGUGAAUUUUGCACAAUGGAGGAAACUCUGAUGCAGCGACGCCGCGGGAACGAAGAAGGUCGUCGGAUUGUAAAGUUCUGUCCUGGGUGAAGCGGUAACUCAGGAGGAAGCCCCGGCUAACUACGUGCCAGCCGCCGCGGUAAUUC
rnacentral:rRNA from 1 species